rnacentral:rRNA from 3 species
ACUUAAAUUGAAGAGUUUGAUCAUGGCUCAGAUUGAACGCUGGCGGCAGGCCUAACACAUGCAAGUCGAGCGGUAGCACAGAGAGCUUGCUCUCGGGUGACGAGCGGCGGACGGGUGAGUAAUGUCUGGGAAACUGCCUGAUGGAGGGGGAUAACUACUGGAAACGGUAGCUAAUACCGCAUAACGUCGCAAGACCAAAGUGGGGGACCUUCGGGCCUCAUGCCAUCAGAUGUGCCCAGAUGGGAUUAGCUAGUAGGUGGGGUAACGGCUCACCUAGGCGACGAUCCCUAGCUGGUCUGAGAGGAUGACCAGCCACACUGGAACUGAGACACGGUCCAGACUCCUACGGGAGGCAGCAGUGGGGAAUAUUGCACAAUGGGCGCAAGCCUGAUGCAGCCAUGCCGCGUGUGUGAAGAAGGCCUUCGGGUUGUAAAGCACUUUCAGCGGGGAGGAAGGCGUUAAGGUUAAUAACCUUGGCGAUUGACGUUACCCGCAGAAGAAGCACCGGCUAACUCCGUGCCAGCAGCCGCGGUAAUACGGAGGGUGCAAGCGUUAAUCGGAAUUACUGGGCGUAAAGCGCACGCAGGCGGUCUGUCAAGUCGGAUGUGAAAUCCCCGGGCUCAACCUGGGAACUGCAUUCGAAACUGGCAGGCUAGAGUCUUGUAGAGGGGGGUAGAAUUCCAGGUGUAGCGGUGAAAUGCGUAGAGAUCUGGAGGAAUACCGGUGGCGAAGGCGGCCCCCUGGACAAAGACUGACGCUCAGGUGCGAAAGCGUGGGGAGCAAACAGGAUUAGAUACCCUGGUAGUCCACGCCGUAAACGAUGUCGAUUUGGAGGUUGUGCCCUUGAGGCGUGGCUUCCGGAGCUAACGCGUUAAAUCGACCGCCUGGGGAGUACGGCCGCAAGGUUAAAACUCAAAUGAAUUGACGGGGGCCCGCACAAGCGGUGGAGCAUGUGGUUUAAUUCGAUGCAACGCGAAGAACCUUACCUGGUCUUGACAUCCACAGAACUUAGCAGAGAUGCUUUGGUGCCUUCGGGAACUGUGAGACAGGUGCUGCAUGGCUGUCGUCAGCUCGUGUUGUGAAAUGUUGGGUUAAGUCCCGCAACGAGCGCAACCCUUAUCCUUUGUUGCCAGCGGUUAGGCCGGGAACUCAAAGGAGACUGCCAGUGAUAAACUGGAGGAAGGUGGGGAUGACGUCAAGUCAUCAUGGCCCUUACGACCAGGGCUACACACGUGCUACAAUGGCAUAUACAAAGAGAAGCGACCUCGCGAGAGCAAGCGGACCUCAUAAAGUAUGUCGUAGUCCGGAUUGGAGUCUGCAACUCGACUCCAUGAAGUCGGAAUCGCUAGUAAUCGUAGAUCAGAAUGCUACGGUGAAUACGUUCCCGGGCCUUGUACACACCGCCCGUCACACCAUGGGAGUGGGUUGCAAAAGAAGUAGGUAGCUUAACCUUCGGGAGGGCGCUUACCACUUUGUGAUUCAUGACUGGGGUGAAGUCGUAACAAGGUAACCGUAGGGGAACCUGCGGUUGGAUCACCUCCUUACCUUAAAGAA